GGUGUUUGGAAUGAAGUUUGAUCCAAGAUCCUUGUUUCUCUUUUAGUGUUUGGGUUUUUUUUCCCCUUUUGUUUCUAAAUGGGGAUUGAGUUUAAUUUUGAGUCUUUCUGUUGGUUUAAUGAGUUGUUGCAUGAAUAAAGAGAUUGAAGAAGAGAGAUUUUACUUGUAAAACUUCAAGAUCCUCUUCUCUUUUCUCUCUGAGAGAGAGAGAGAGAGAAGGGAGGGUUUCUGAUAGAAAGUUGAUUCAAGAUCCUUCUCUUUCUUUCUUUCUCCUCUUCUCUAUCUUAAUUUCUAUGUUCCUCUUAAAAAGAAAGAGCUUGAAAAUUUUGCAGUCAUGUUCAUGUCCUUUUUCCAUUUUUUUUCACUCUUGAUCUUGAAAAUAAUUACUUGAUAAUACCAUAGACUGAUCUCGGACCAGGCUUCAUUCCUCACACC
rnacentral:sRNA from 1 species